rnacentral:lncRNA from 1 species
AUGUAUCUGUCACUCUCUAUCUCAGUCUAUGAACUCACAACAAGGGGUUUGGUCGACAAAGCUAUGAACUCGCGAAAGAGGAGGCAUGGGUGCCUUGAUAAAAAAUUUGGAAGCGAGAUGAGGGAAUUUUCUCUUUUGUUUGGUCGGAGAAGAAAGUUUUUGGAUGGUGGGCGGUGGCUCGAUGGUGGUCGGUAGACGAUAG